CUAUGAUUUCUUUUCGUAUUUUGGUGAUUUUUUAACUCUUUUUUCCUUGCGUAAGGUGUUUAAUUCUUGUUUUUAUUUUUGUUGAGGGCAUUUGGGGGUCUUGUAAUUUAUUCUCUCUCCCAACAUUAAUUUCACACGUAUAAUGUUUGUAUCUCUCCCAUCUGUGUGUCUCUCGCAAACGGUCCUGUGUGUUUCUUCAAUCGCAAAGCUGCGUUCUUCAAUCUCUUUCAAUCGCGAAACUCUGGGUCCGUUCUUCCGUCUCUCCAACAACGCAGAUGGUACUGGAUGGGACUACGGUUGAGGAAAGCGGCGGAGACCACCGGGACUACCUGUCGGUCGAGUUGCUGUAGGUAAGAAAUCUAGGGUAUCACAUUCAGAUGCUGGUGGUUCGAGCUUAGCUUUUCUGAGGAUGAUGAUGAUUUCAUAACCCCAUCUUUAGCGGUUCUUGUAAGGUUGUAGCAAUAUCAUGUGUGGAAUGCCCCCGAUUAUGAACGCAUUGCAGUGGAGGCUGUUAGGUUUCCUAGGGUGAACUUUACUAAUCCUGGGUUAGGCUUUUUGUUCGUGUAGGUUGUUAACUUUUUGACAAUUACAAAAUCAUUGCACUUACUGUAUCGAUUAUUAAGUCUUUUGGAGGCAUAUUUAAUUCGUAAUGCUAUUUCCCUUUGUUUUGAUCAGUGAUUAAAUCAUCUUUCGUA